rnacentral:tRNA from 1 species
GGCAGAGUAUAGCAUUGGUAGCUUACCAGUCUUAUUAGCUGGAGGUAGGUGGUUCGAUUCCGCCCUCUGCAACCA